GCGGCAGCGACGGAUGGUUUUUGUUGCUGCUCUCCGGCUGAAACAGAUGAUGGAGGCUACGCUGGAGCAUCCACGGGAGGUGCAAAACUACGAAGGAGAUCUGAUUUUUUUUUUCUGUGAUUUUACAAAUACUGAGAACAUAGGUGAGCUUGCGAGGAUGUGUGUGUCGGUGUGAUUAAAUUGAGGCGGCGGCGAAGAGGUGGAGGGCAGAGGGAGAUCUAGCCGAAAACUACAUGCUGCAGUUGAGUUUGGGUUCGUUUCCGGCGUUGCAGAGAGAUUUGGCCGGAAUUGAGAGAGAGAGAGAAGAAAAAAUAUUUUUUUCUAACGCCGUUAACGUCCGUUAAGUAGCGGGGGGGAAUUUGCUUCGAUUUUGCCACGUUGAGGUAGUAAGCAGCACUUACCCUGACUAUAGGGUGUGAUACGCGAUAGGGACGCCAUCGAUAGGGGGAAAUUGGUACUUAACCCAAUUUAAUAUUAUACUCAUUGACUUGAUAAUAUUAUAAUAUAAUGCUUCAAAUUAUUAAACUGCAAUUUUAUUAAGAAAAAGAAAAAGAAAAAACCUAAAACAACCCUUGAAAGCACAAGAAAAGCAGACUAAGGGCCGAGCCUCAUUAAAAGCUUUCCACGGAAAACCCAAUGGGAAAAACCGCAGAAAGGAA
rnacentral:lncRNA from 1 species